UACGAAGGGGGGCUAGCGUUGUUCGGAAUUACUGGGCGUAAAGCGCGUGUAGGCGGGUCUUUAAGUCAGGGGUGAAAUGCCAAGGCUCAACCUUGGAACUGCCUUUGAUACUGGAGACCUUGAGUCCGGGAGAGGUGAGUGGAAUUGCGAGUGUAGAGGUGAAAUUCGUAGAUAUCUGGAGGAAUACCGGUGGCGAAGGCGGCAUCCUGGACCGGCAUUGACGCUGAGGAGCGAAAGCCAGGGGAGCAAAGC
rnacentral:rRNA from 1 species